GACGUUGAAGCACCGGUUCUCGUACGAUCACCGAAGUUAAGCAACGUUGAGUCUGAGCAGUAACUAGAUGGGUAACUGCUUGGGAAUAUCAAGCGCUGUAAG